rnacentral:tRNA from 1 species
UGGCUCAGUGGGUAAAGCGUCUGCCUCCAAUGCGGGAGACCCAGGUUCGAUCCCUGG